UGGGGAAUCUUGCACAAUGGGGGCAACCCUGAUGCAGCGACGCCGCGUGAGCGAUGAAGCCCUUCGGGGCGUAAAGCUCUUUCGACCGGAACGAUAAUGACGGUACCGGGAGAAGAAGCUGCGGCUAACUACGUGCCAGCAGCCGCGGUAAUACGUAGGCAGCAAGCGUUGUUCGGAGUUACUGGGCGUAAAGAGUGCGUAGGCGGUUUUCUAAGUUCGGUGUGAAAUCUCCCGGCUUAACUGGGAGGGUGCGCCGAAGACUGGGAAGCGGGAGUUUGGGAAAGGCAGGCGGAAUUCCUGGUGUAGCGGUGAAAUGCGUAGAUAUCAGGAGCAACACCGGCGGUGUAGACGGCUUGCUAGACCAUAACUGACGCUGAGGCACGAAAGCGUGGGUAGCAAACA
rnacentral:rRNA from 1 species